rnacentral:rRNA from 1 species
GACGAAGGGGGCUAGCGUUGUUCGGAAUUACUGGGCGUAAAGCGUGCGCAGGCGGUUUCGCAAGUCAGAUGUGAAAGCCCCGGGCUCAACCUGGGAAUUGCAUUUGAAACUACGAGGCUAGAGUGUGUCAGAGGGGGGUAGAAUUCCACGUGUAGCAGUGAAAUGCGUAGAGAUGUGGAGGAAUACCGAUGGCGAAGGCAGCCCCCUGGGAUAACACUGACGCUCAUGCACGAAAGCGUGGGGAGCAAACAGG